CUCACCUGUCACUACACCAGGCGAAGAAAGCUCAGGGGUUGAAAGGCAAUUUCAAGGGUCACCAGAUAGCUACAGACCCAAAGACUGUCCAUAUACCUCAAAAUCUGAUGGGAGUUGAAGUCACACGGGCGACCCUUGGAAUCACUGGAAUGGGAGAGGUUGGUUACAAGAUUGCUCAAAGAAGCAAAGGAUUUGAAAUGAAGGUUAUGUAUCACAAGAGGACCAGAAGGUCUCCGACAGCGGCCCCUCCUCCUUUGGGCGGAGUUCGGUUGCUCCUCCCUGGCUGACCACCUGUGAGCAAUCAUGCCAGCAGUAUAUCAGACCUGCGCUCUCAACCAUUCAUCGCCUGAGUAUCUGCUAUCCCCAUAGGUAGCACCUGGAGUGGAGAUCUUGUCUCCCUCACUCCCGCCUUCCUGGACCUGGGCCGCCUGCUGCUAACACGACGUGGCCUGC